UACGAAGGGGGCUAGCGUUGUUCGGAAUUACUGGGCGUAAAGCGCACGCAGGCGGAUUUAUAAGUCAGGGGUGAAAUCCCGGGGCUCAACCUCGGAAUUGCCUUUGAUACUGUCUAUCUUGAGUCCGGGAGAGGUGAGUUGAAUUCCUAGUGUAGAGGUGAAGUUCGUAGAUAUUAGGAAGAACACCAGUGGCGAAGGCGGCUCACUGGCCCGGUACUGACGCUCAUGUGCGAAAGCGUGGGGAGCAAACAGG
rnacentral:rRNA from 1 species